CCUGCUCUCUGUACUCGCACAUUCCAUAACUCAUUUCCAUUCUCUCACUACAAUUUCCCGACGAUAUAUACAAAUUGUAAGGCACAAAUUCUCCCAUUUUGAAUUCCCAUCUUCAUUCCUGCAGUCAUUCCCUGCACUCAUUCCUGCACUCGCUAUUGAGGGUUAAUUCGUCGAUUUCGCUGUUUGACACCGGCAUUUAGGAUGUUGUUUGUGAGGUCCCGAGGCUGAUUUUGGUUGUGUUCAAUUUAGGGUUUUUCAUCCGUAUCGCUGAGUUUCACAUCACAAUUUAGGGUUUAUGGGUGUCGUUCCAAUUUUUGGGCUAUGUCAUUCCAAUUCUUGGGGAGGGUCCGACUAAUAAUAGCGUAUAAGGUGUGAAAACUUUCUUGAUUUUACUUUUCAAUUCAAGUCCUUGUUACAAUGUCGUCCUCUAGUUCUCAAUCUUUAGGCUCAAGUUUCAACUGGGAUUGGCCUCGUCCACGGAUUGUGUACUGUAAGCAUGAUCUUGAGACUGAGCUCGUGAUAUCUAGGACGACAGCUAAUCUUGGGCGACGUUAUUAUCGUUGUUCAAUAUGGAAGGAAGAUGAUUGCAGAUUCUUUCGUUGGUUUGAUGCGGGUCUAUCGUCAAGCCAAGACACUUACUUUCAAAGGAUCAAACUGGAACGAGACAAGUUUGAAGAACAACUCCGAUGCAAGAAUACUGAGGUGUGUGUUCUUGAAGAUAAAUUGCGGAAAAAAAGUGACGAAUGUGAAGAGCUGAAGUUAAAGCUGAGCAGGAAGAGUGAGGAGUGUGUACGUCUUAAUGUAGAAGUUGUCAAAACCACCAAAAUGUCUCGAAAAAUGAAGAUUGUAAUAUUGUUGUUGUGUGUUGUAAUUGUUUUCCUAAUGUAAUGUUAACAUUUUUCU